rnacentral:rRNA from 1 species
CCUACGGGUGGCUGCAGUGGGGAAUAUUGGACAAUGGGGGGAACCCUGAUCCAGCGACGCCGCGUGAGUGAAGAAGUAUUUCGGUAUGUAAAGCUCUAUCAGCAGGGAAGAAAGGAAUGACGGUACCUUACUAAGAAGCCCCUGCUAACUACGUGCCAGCAGCCGCGGUAAUACGUAGGGGGCAAGCGUUAUCCGGAUUUACGGGGUGUAAAGGGAGCGUAGACGGUUACGCAAGUCUGGAGUGAAAGGCGGGGGCCCAACCCCCGGACUGCUUUGGAAACUGUAUAACUGGAGUGCAGGAGAGGUAAGUGGAAUUGCUAGUGUAGCGGUGAAAUGCGUAGAUAUUAGGAGGAACACCAGUGGCGAAGGCGGCUUACUGGACUGUAACUGACGUUGAGGCUCGAAAGCGUGGGGAGCAAACAGGAUUAGAUACCCCAGUAGUC